rnacentral:rRNA from 1 species
CGCCUUGCCAGCCCGCUCAGAAACUCAAAUGAAUUGACGGGGGCCCGCACAAGCGGAGGAACAUGUGGUUUAAUUCGAUGAUACGCGAGGAACCUUACCUGGGCUAGAACGCAUUCGGAAUCAGGCCGAAAGGCCUGCGCCAGCGAUGGCCGCUUGCGAGGUGCUGCAUGGUUGUCGUCAGCUCGUGCCGUGAGGUGUCGGGUUAAGUCCCAUAACGAGCGCAACCCCUACUGCUAGUUGCCAGCGGGUCAUGCCGGGGACUCUAGCGGAACUGCCAGCGUAAGCUGCGAGGAAGGUGGGGAUGACGUCAAAUCAGCACGGCCCUUACGUCCAGGGCUACACACGUGUUACAAUGGCCGGUACAGAGGGCAGCCACCCCGCGAGGGGGCGCGAAUCCCGAAAGCCGGUCCCAGUUCGGAUCGGAGUCUGCAACCCGACUCCGUGAAGCUGGAUUCGCUAGUAAUCGCGCAUCAGCCACGGCGCGGUGAAUACGUUCCCGGGCCUU